UCUCCUUGAACUGCCCCCACUCAGGGGCAGCCUGGCUGUGACCCUCAGGUGAGCAGAACUCCUAGGAGGGGAGAGUCUGCCCAGACAGACAGACAGGUGCACUCUGCAGCCAGGGCAAUCACUGGCUUUUCGGGGGUGAGCAGCUCUGCCCAAGUGCUUUAUGGGUCUGGCCUGUAACUGGUCGGAAUCUCUCUCGCUCGUGAGAUGCUCUGGUGCCAAUUUCCCUUCCUCUGGCUCGCUUGCUGCCUAACUACUAACAGCUGCUCUGCUUUGCCCUGAGACGUGUAGCUGGAGAAGGACCCACAGCGUGACUCCGUCUUUAGGCCAGUUUAUUGCCUGUUUCUGUAGCAGAUCCCCCUCCCCUUUAAUUCCUGUGUGUUUCUGUACUAACCACGUGACCUGUUCCUUUCAGGCUUAUAUUCAUGGUUUGCUGGGGAUCUCACCACUAACCUGGCUGCCUCCUCUCAAUUAUCCCUCCGGGUCCGUGUGUGGCAGUGACGUGGCUGGUGUAUUUUCACCUAACACAGUAACUAGUCAGGAGGCUGCCCGGCCCUGGCUGCUCCCUGCUUUAUUAACAGACUAAAACCUCUCUCAGGGCUGGGAUCAGGAUGGUUUGGGGGUCCUUGGAGAGUGGGGCUGUGAUGCACCCCCAAAUCGAGGAGCAAGCACGACUUGCCUUUUCGGGGGAUAAUGCAAGGGUUAGA